rnacentral:misc_RNA from 1 species
GAUGAAGAACGUAGCGAAAUGCGAUACUUGGUGUGAAUUGCAGAAUCCCGUGAACCAUCGAGUCUUUGAACGCAAGUUGCGCCCGAAGCCACUAGGCCGAGGGCACGCCUGCCUGGGCGUCACACGCCGUUGCCCCCCCAUCUACUCCUUCGGGAUUGCGGGGGGGCGGAUGAUGGCCUCCUGUGCGCCUAGCCGCGCGGUUGGCAUAAAUACCAAGUCCUCGGCGACGCACGCCACGACAAUCGGUGGUUGCGAAACCUCGGUUGCCCGUCGUGUGCGUUCGUCGGGCAUCGAGGGCUCGAAAAAAUGCUCGGCUCCGGCUGGGCUUUCAACGCGACCCCAGGUCAGGCGGGGUUACCCGCUGAAUUUAAGCAUAUCAAUAAGCGGAGGA